UACCCGCAGCACAAGUGGUGGUCAUUAUUAUUGGGCCUAAAGCGUCCGUAGCUGGCCUGUUAGAUGCCUGGGUAAAUCGAUGCGCUCAACGUAUCGAACUCCGGGUAGACCGGCAGGCUUGGGACCGGGAGAGGCGUGAGCUACUCGGGGGGUAAGGGUAAAAUCCUGUAAUCCUCCGGGGAGGACCAGUGGCGAAGGCGUCACGCUAGAACGGCUCCGACAGUGAGGGACGAAGCCCUGGGGCGCAAACCGG
rnacentral:rRNA from 1 species